UACGAAGGGGCUAGCGUUGCUCGGAAUCACUGGGCGUAAAGGGUGCGUAGGCGGGUCUUUAAGUCAGGGGUGAAAUCCUGGAGCUCAACUCCAGAACUGCCUUUGAUACUGAGGAUCUUGAGUUCGGAGAGGUGAGUGGAACUGCGAGUGUAGAGGUGAAAUUCGUAGAUAUUCGCAAGAACACCAGUGGCGAAGGCGGCUCACUGGCCCGGUACUGACGCUGAGGUGCGAAAGCGUGGGGAGCA
rnacentral:rRNA from 1 species